AACGAGGUGGCCGAGUGGUUAAGGCGAUGGAAUUUUCUAAUCCUUUUGGGUCUGCCCCCGUGGGUUCGAAUCCCAUCCUUUGUCG